AACGAACGCUGGCGGCAUGCCUAACACAUGCAAGUCGAACGAGACCUUCGGGUCUAUUGGCGCACGGAUGCGUAACGCGUGGGAACCUGCCCUUAGGUUCGGAAUAACUCCCCGAAAGGGGUGCUAAUACCGGAUAAUGUCUUCGGACCAAAGAUUUAUCGCCUUUGGAUGGGCCCGCGUUGGAUUAGCUAGUUGGUAGGGUAAAAGCCUACCAAGGCGACGAUCCAUAGCUGGUCUGAGAGGAUGAUCAGCCACACUGGGACUGAGACACGGCCCAGACUCCUACGGGAGGCAGCAGUGGGGAAUAUUGGACAAUGGGCGAAAGCCUGAUCCAGCAAUGCCGCGUGAGUGAUGAAGGCCUUAGGGUUGUAAAGCUCUUUUACCCGGGAUGAUAAUGACAGUACCGGGAGAAUAAGCACCGGCUAACUCCGUG
rnacentral:rRNA from 1 species